GACUCUCGGCAACGGAUAUCUCGGCUCUCGGAUCGAUGAAGAACGUAGCAAAAUGCGAUACCUGGUGUGAAUUGCAGAAUCCCACGAACCAUCGAGUUUUUGAACGCAAGUUGCGCCCGAGGCCUUCCGGCCGAGGGCACGUCUGCCUGGUCGUCA
rnacentral:rRNA from 2 species